rfam:Triticum aestivum genome assembly, contig: Triticum_aestivum_CS42_TGACv1_scaffold_251173_3DL
GAUGUACUCCUUCCGUCCGGAAAUACUUGUCAUCAAAAUGGAUAAAAAUAGAUACACCUAGAAUUAAAAUAUGUUUAGAUACACCCUUUUUAUCCAUUUUGAUGACAUGUAUUUCUGGACGGAGGGAGUAGUAC